GAGGCGCUAGCUCAUCUGGUAGAGCACUUCCCUUUUAAGGAAGGUGUGCCGGGUUCAAGUCCCGGGCGCCUCA
rnacentral:tRNA from 1 species